AUUGAACGCUGGCGGCAGGCUUUACACAUGCAAGUCGGACGAGUGGCGGACGGGUGAGUAACAUAUCGGAACGUACCGAAUAAGGGGGGAUAACUACUGGAAAGGUUAGCUAAUACCGCCUAUUAUUCGAUGUGCCGAUAUCUGAUUAGCUGGUUGGUGGGGUAAAGGCCCACCAAGGCGACGAUCAGUAGCGGGUCUGAGAGGAUGACCAGCCACACUGGAACUGAGACACGGACCCGACUCCUACGGGAGGCAGCAGUGGGGAAUCUUCGACAAUGGGCGCAAGUCUGAUCCAGCCAUGCCGCGUGACUGAAGAAGGCCUUCGGGUUGUAAAGGACUGUUGUUAGGGAAGCGGUACCUGAAGAGUAAGCACCGGCUAACUACGUGCCAGCCGCCGCGGUAAUUC
rnacentral:rRNA from 1 species